GGGGUGCGCGGUAAGGGUAAGAAGAACAUAGGGGCAGGGGUACAAAUAAACGCAUCACAACACCAAAGUCUGGGUGAGACGGUGAUGGUGUGAAACGCUUCUUGCUUCAAGCUCUUGUGGUAACAGUGUUAAAAGCAACAACAACAACAGAGAAUAACGCAUCGCGUAGAAACAAACACACCGUUCGUGGGUAUGUCAGGGGGGGAAACAACGGGAAAAGCUCAAUUCUCUCUCAGCGAUGCCGCUUGGGAACCGAAGCUUUUUUCUCCCAGUUUCAACCCCCUCAUGUCCACAAACUGCCUUCGCUUACUAUUCCUAUCCCGUUUCUACAUUCUACAACGUUUGUUGCGUUCUCGCUCAUCAGGGUGUUUGUCAAUUCUCUCUUGCCACACGAAGAGAAUUCUCCUGCACACUUCGUGUGUUGGAUUCUACCCAUCCCUGUUGAACACACGUCAUUUUCUUCCAUCGCACUCAUCAGGGUGUUUGCUCUUUUCCAUCCAAGCCAAAGAGCGACUUCAGUGUGCUCUGAACCGUGGAUGUGAGAGUGUGUGUUUGUGUGCUGCGUGAACUAUUUUUCCUGCGUGAAACACUUUCCAUACUGCGCCAUCCGCGGUGUUCUUUCUGCUUCAUCGGAGGACGAAUUUUUAUCAUCUAAUUGUUUGGUUUCAGAUGUGUGCUGCUACCGCUAGCUGUUCCUCAAACUACUUAAAAAGUGUGACACUGUGUGCACAGGCGUUCAAGUUUCAAUUGAUCCUCAAGCACAAAGGCGCGCCAAAUCUGAUGACAUCUUUCCUGAACCAAGCAGGCUGAACACGCGCACCACCACGGGCUCCAGCGCGGUGUGAAGAGGGAAGACGAAAAGACAGAAUUGGAAACAGCCGCGCCAGGCUUCCAACCACCGUGUGUGUGUGUAUGGAAGUAUGUGAGAACACAUGUGUGAAUCCUCUUGUGGGAACUGCAAAAAGAAGAGAAUAAAGAGUGUGAAGCAGCUAGACUGCCGCAACCAAA